GACGAACCGUGCGAACGUUGUUCGGAAUCACCGGUGCUUAAAGGGCGCGUAGGCGGGCUGCCGCGUCCGCGGUGAAAUUCUCCGGCUUAACCGGAGUAGUGCCGCGGGUACGGGCGGUCUCGAGGCGGGUAGGGGCGUGCGGAACACUGGGUGGAGCGGUGAAAUGCGUUGAUAUCCAGUGGAACUCCGGUGGCGAAGGCGGCACGCUGGACCCGAUCUGACGCUGAGGCGCGAAAGCGUGGGGAGCGAACAGG
rnacentral:rRNA from 1 species